UUUGUCUUGAGAGAGAGUAAGGCCGAGGUACUCAUUAUAUCAUUUUACUCAAGCCCAAUAGAAGUACAAAAAACGUCUAUAUGUAGAGGACACAGAGAGACUCGUGAAUAUUUGAUUAAAAUAUUUAUUUCAUUAUUUAAUGUACUUAAAGUCGAUGUUUGCGGUGCAAUACUUAAAUUAACUCCGUUCAAGUUGACUUGUGUUGGCUCAGCUUAUUCCAGAAAAGUAAUCGAAAUAAUCGAAGUAUCUCUUCGCUGCAUAAAAUGAACGCAAAAGAUUACACGUACGCGAAUUAGUGAAAGGGCCGCAAUAGCAACCCACGAAACAACGACAAAACCGAUAAUCAGAUAAAAAAUAUAAGAAAGAAGAUACAAGAUACAAGAUACACGAUACAAGACGACUCAAUGGACAAGGCGGAGAAAAUUUUUGAUACACUCGCGUACACGUCGUGUUCCGUAGAAUUACCGGCAGCGAUUACUUGCUCGAGUUGAGGUAAAUGUUGAGAAGUAAAAUUUUGAUUGAAUAUUUUAAUGACUUUUCAACUUAUUUACUUUUUGCUUUCAGCAGCGAUUAUCACUAUUAUUUUGCUAUUUAUCUGGUUUCGCUAAAGCAAAAGUAUUUAAAAAAUAAAAGGCAUUAAAGCACGCAACACACGUCACGUUUCGUCUUACAUUUAUGGAUUUAAAAAUUGUAUCUGACGUUAAGGGAAAUUAAAAUAAGUUUUCUGCUUUGCUGUUUUGCUGUUUUGCACUGAAGUCGUUAUCGGAACAGAUUGGGUAUUGUGUACUUAAGCUCAAGAAUUAUGCAGAUUUUAGGUUGA